rnacentral:rRNA from 1 species
GACGAACCGUGCGAACGUUAUUCGGAAUCACUGGGCUUAAAGCGCGUGUAGGCGGGCCGGCACGUCCGUGGCUGAAAGCCCCCGGCUCAACCGGGGAAGGGGCGCGGAUACGACCGGCCUGGAGGGGGGUAGGGGACCUGGAACUUCCGGUGGAGCGGUGAAAUGCGUUGAGAUCGGAAGGAACGCCCGUGGCGAAAGCGAGGUCCUGGACCCUUCUGACGCUGAGACGCGAAAGCCAGGGGAGCGAACGGGAGUUAAGAU